rnacentral:rRNA from 1 species
AUUGAACGCUGGCGGCAUGCCUUACACAUGCAAGUCGAACGGCAUCGCGGGAAAGCUUGCUUUCCUGGCGGCGAGUGGCGAACGGGUGAGUAACACAUCGGAACGUACCGGCUAGUGGGGGAUAACCCGUCGAAAGACGGGCUAAUACCGCAUACGCUCUUCGGAGGAAAGCAGGGGACCUUUGGGCCUUGCGCUAGCCGAGCGGCCGAUGUCCGAUUAGCUAGUUGGUGGGGUAAAGGCCUACCAAGGCGACGAUCGGUAGCGGGUCUGAGAGGACGAUCCGCCACACUGGGACUGAGACACGGACCAGACUCCUACGGGAGGCAGCAGUGGGGAAUCUUGGACAAUGGGGGCAACCCUGAUCCAGCAAUGCCGCGUGGGUGAAGAAGGCCUUCGGGUUGUAAAGCCCUUUCGGCAGGGAAGAAAUCGGCGGGGCGAAUAACCCUGCUGGAUGACGGUACCUGCAGAAGAAGCACCGGCUAACUACGUG